rnacentral:rRNA from 1 species
GACGCACGCUGGCGGCGUGCUUAACACAUGCAAGUCGAACGAAGUGGCGAACGGGUGAGUAACGCGUAAUCAACCUGCCCUUCAGAGGGGGACAACAGUAGGAAACGACAGAUAAUACCGCAUACUGAAGGAGGGGCUUGCGUCUGAUUAGCUAGUUGGAGGGGUAAGGGCCCAACAAGGCGAUGAUCAGUAGCCGGGCUGAGAGGAGGCAAGGCAAAAUUGGGACUGAGACACGGCCAAGAAGCCGACGGGAGGCAGCAGGGGGGAAUCUUCCGCAAGUGAAGAAAGGUUGACGGAGCAACGCCGCGUUAGUGAUGACGGCCUUCGGGUUGUAAAGCUCUGUUAGUCGGGACGCGGUACCGGAAUAGAAAGCCACGGCUAACUACGUGCCAGCAGCCGCGGUAAUUC